rnacentral:rRNA from 1 species
AACGAACGCUGGCGGCAGGCCUAACACAUGCAAGUCGAGCGCUCACCUUCGGGUGGGAGCGGCGCACGGGUGUGUAACACGUGGGAACCUACCUUGAAGUACGGAAUAACUGAGGGAAACUUCAGCUAAUACCGUAUACGCCCUACGGGGGAAAGAUUUAUCGCUUCAGGACGGGCCCGCGUUGGAUUAGCUAGUUGGUGAGGUAACGGCUCACCAAGGCAACGAUCCAUAGCUGAGUUGAGAGAAUGAUCAGCCACACUGGGACUGAGACACGGCCCAGACUCCUACGGGAGGCAGCAGUGGGGAAUAUUGGACAAUGGGCGCAAGCCUGAUCCAGCCAUGCCGCGUGAGUGAUGAAGGCCUUCGGGUUGUAAAGCUCUUUCAGAUGGGACGAUGAUGACGGUACCAUCAGAAGAAGCCCCGGCUAACUUCGUGCCAGCCGCCGCAGUAAAAC